rnacentral:rRNA from 1 species
GAUAAACGCUGGCGGCGUGCCUAACACAUGCAAGUCGAACGCCCUGGAGCAAUUCAGGGAGUGGCGGACGGGUGAGGAACACGUGGGUUAUCUGCCUUGAGGUGAGGAAUACCGGCGAGAAAUCGCCGACAAUACCGCAUACGUUCGUAAGAACAAAGUCGCAAGACGCCACAAGAUGAGCCUGCGUCCGAUUAGCUAGUUGGUGGGGUAAAAGCCUACCAAGGCAGCGAUCGGAGCUGGUCUGAGAGGACGAUCAGCCACACUGGGAUUGAGAACGGCCCAGACUCCUACGGGGGCGG